UAAAAAAAAACAGUAAAACCACUACUUAAACAGCAUUUACAUUGUGUUAGGUAUUGUAAAGUAAUCAAGAGAUGAUUUAACAUAUCGGUCCCACAACCUUUUUGGCACCAGGGACUGGUUUUGUGGAAGACAAUUUUUCCACCAACAGCGUGGAGGGUGUGGCAAAUGAAACUGUUCCAUCCCAGAUCAUCAGGCAUUAGUUAGAUUCCCAUAAGGAGCACGCAACCUAGAUCUCUCGGAGUUGCAGUUUACAAUAGGGCUCAUGCUCCUUUGAGAAUCUAAUGCCACUGCUGAUCAGACAGGAGGCGGAGCUCAGGCAGUAAUGUUCACUUGCCCUCUGCUCACUCCACCUGUUUGGCCUGGUUCCUAACAGGCACGGACCAGUAUGCGGCCCAGGCGUUGAGGAACCCCUGAUUUAAAGUACACAGAAGGAUGGAGAGAUGGGGUCUCACGAUGCUGCCCAGGCUAGAAUGCAGUGGCUUUUCGCAGGCACAAUCAUAGCAUAUUACUGCCUCAAACUUCUGGGCUCAAGCCUCGGCAUCCCCAGUAGCUGAGAAUACAGGCAUGUACCACUGUACUCAGCUUUGUGGAUUUAAUGCAUAUACAAGGUUAGAAAUUCAAUAAGCUGCUUAUGAUGAUGGAGGCCAUGUUUCUCCAGCCAGCUACUCUGAUAUAUGGACAGUGCCUAGCACAAUGCCUGACAAAGAUGGUAUCCCACAAAAUAUGUUGGAGGCUUCAUGAACAUACAUUGAGAUUGACUGCAG
rnacentral:lncRNA from 1 species